CCUCUCUUGUAUUUUCCGCCUAUAUACCGCCGUCGUCAGCUUACCCUAUGAAGGACCCAAAGUGAGCACAAUUGGUAAUACCUAAAACGCCAGGUCGAGGUGUAGCCAACGAGAGGGGAAGAAAUGGGCUACAUUCACUGCUACAGUGAACACGGAUGAUGUACUGAAACAAACAUCUAAAGGAGGAUUUAGCAGUAAGGGGUGAAAUAGAGUGUCCCCCUGAAACUGGCCCUGAAGCGCGCACACACCGCCCGUCACUCUCCCCAAACAAACCAAAGUAAUAAAUAAAAACCUAUAAAAACAAAGGGGAGGCAAGUCGUAACAUGGUAAGUGUACCGGAAGGUGCACUUGGAAAAAA
rnacentral:rRNA from 1 species